rnacentral:rRNA from 1 species
UUUUCUUAAUCUUUUCUAUAAUGAUACAUGCUAGUUAAUUUUAACACCCCAGUGAGUAUAAAAAGUAUAAAAAAUUAAAAGUUAAUUAAACCUUUACGGUAUCAGAAUUUAAUAUAUUCAAAAACACCUAGAAAACCCACACCUGCAGUACUUAAUAUUUAUCAAUAAGUAAAAGCUUGACUAAGUAAUAGAAAAAUGAAUUGGUAAAUUAUGUGCCAGCCACCGCGGUUAUACAUAAAAUUCUAGUUAAGAAAAUACGGUAAAAACUGUGGUAAAAUAUCCCCCCCAUUACACCUGAAAUAGAAAAAAACUUUAGCAGUAAUAAGCUUCACAGUAUUAUAAUCCCAAUUACGCAAAUUCAAUUUCAGAUUAUUGAACCCACUAAAGCUCCAAAAUAAACUGGGAUUAGAUACCCCACUAUAAGAGCAAUAAAACUCAUAACAAAAACCCGAGAACUACGAACUAAAGUUUAAAACUCAAAGGACUUGGCGGUUUUCUAUACCUACCUGGAGGAGCUUGCUAUCUAAC